AAGUUGCUGACGCGAAGAUCUUAAGAAUUAUUAUUUUGAAAUGGAUUUUUUGUUUUGGCAGAGCUGAGAGCUUUUACUGGGCAGAAGACAAGAGAUGGAGAGUCCAGCCGGGCCUGCGCUUAAGUGCGCGGUCUUGCUAGGCUUGUAAGUUUCUUUCUUGCUAUUCCAAACGGUGAGAGAUUUCUGUGCUUUUGUUAUAGGACAAUUAAAACCGUUUCAAUACAACACACUGUGGAGUUUUCAUAUCUUUGCAACUUUUUCUUUGGGCAUUCGAGCAAUCGGGGCCCAGAGGUAACAAACACAAACAAUUUUAUCUAUUCAUUAAAUUUUUGUCAAAAACAAGAAUUUUCGUAACUGGAAAUUUUAAAAUAUUAAAAACUUUCAACAACGGAUCUCUUGGUUCUCGCAUCGAUGAAGAACGCAGCGAAAUGCGAUACGUAAUGUGAAUAUGCAGAAUUCCGUGAAUCAUCGAAUCUUUGAACGCACAUUGCGCCCCUUGGUAUACCAGGGGGCAUGCCUGUUUAGAGCGUCAUAUUCCUUCUCAAACAUUCUGUUUGGUAGUGAGUGAUACUCUUGGAGUUAACUAUGACAUAGUCUGGCCAUUCGUUGGAUGUGGGGCAUGCAAGAGAAUGUUCUGCGUGCUGAAGAUCUGCAGUACCGCAGUGAUCGUUAGCAUCACUCAAUGCUGCAUCUGUCGUUUGACUUCUAAAAGUAACGUUCCAGUAUCA
rnacentral:misc_RNA from 1 species